CCGACAGCGUCAGUUCGUUUGCGAACUGUGUGAAAAGCGAAUUCGGUCACAACGUUUUAUUCGAAAAUCUAAAAAAAGUACAAAAAGUCAAAAACGAAAUGGAAAAGCGUCAACGAACCGCUGUGCGAGUGGUAAUGUGUGAAAAGCUACAAAGAAAUUAAUUAUAUUUUGGUGACUCGUGGUUUUAUUGCUCGCAUCUGCCUGUGAUUUUAUAGUGCUGUGACAUUUGGUACAUAUUCGAAAUUGAGAAAUAUGGUGCACUGCCGUAAGCGGGCCGCGUUAGUGUUUGCUGCGAUGACGGUUCAUAUAAAAUGCAUGUGAAAUGAGGAAAGCCCGUGCUGGCGACCAGCUAUGGCAGUUUAUCUACUCCAAGUCAACCGUAUUAGCUCUUACCUACACAAGUCUUCACCUGCCAAUAAAAUUCACCAGCAAAAAUGUGAUAUUUAAGUGGUUGCAAUUGCAAGUGUUUUAUUCAACAUAUUAUUUGAGUUCAGUGCACCAUUUGGAUGACGACUGAACGACCGUGAGGAUAAACUUUGCGAAAUGCGGAAAAACUAUCAGAUAUAAAAGGGAGACGUUAAACCAAAAUGACGCUGCAGAUA